CCUACGGGUGGCAGCAGUGAGGAAUAUUGGUCAAUGGACGAGAGUCUGAACCAGCCAAGUAGCGUGAAGGAUGACUGCCCUAUGGGUUGUAAACUUCUUUUAUAAAGGAAUAAAACGAGGCACGUGUGCCUUUUUGCAUGUACUUUAUGAAUAAGGAUCGGCUAACUCCGUGCAAGCAGCCGCGGUAAUACGGAGGAUCCGAGCGUUAUCCGGAUUUAUUGGGUUUAAAGGGAGCGUAGAUGGGUUGUUAAGUCAGUUGUGAAAGUUUGCGGCUCAACCGUAAAAUUGCAAUUGAUACUGGUAGUCUUGAGUACAGUUGAGGUAAGCGGAAUUCGUGGUGUAGCGGUGAAAUGCUUAGAUAUCACGAAGAACCCCGAUUGCGAAGGCAGCUUACUAAACUGUGACUGACAUUGAUGCUCGAAAGUGUGGGUAUCAAACAGGAUUAGAUACCCGUGUAGUC
rnacentral:rRNA from 1 species